rnacentral:piRNA from 1 species
UAAUUCUCGGGCUUCCCAUGGCCAUUGAUCUC